GGUGUUGGCAUUUAACUAUAGUGAGAGGUGGUGAGACAGGACCUUAUAUGAGAGACUUGUUAAAAUAUUCUAACACCAGUGAAGACUCCAAGGUCCUCGUUUGGUUGUAAUAUUAGGCGUAACAUUAGUUUCUUCUGAAAUAUACGUUCUGCUUUAUUUGCUGAUUGAAACUGCAUGGAUUAUCCUGAAUGAAGGUUUACCAAUCUUACAAAAGGGAAGAUGUCAUUUUGUGCCAAGAGAGUGUUUAAAAGAUAAUUAGCACCUACAUUAUGUAAAUAAGGCAGAACAUGUGACCUGUGUACAUGAAAUAAAGGAUGAUUAAGUAAAACAAUGGAUAUGCAGAAUGCUGAAAAUGGAGAA